AAAUAUAAGCAGCAACAUCCACUCCUUGAUGAGGAAUGUUACUAAGCAGGUUGAGCCUGUGAAUCAUGUUACCGUAAAUGCGUCGAAUGUGGAGAGACAUAAGAAUUGGAACUAUAUCCUCUGCACAUUUCAGUAAUAAGUGAAACCAUGGUGAGAGAAACCAGCUGGCUGCUGCCAUGACAGAGCUGAAACUCGGUUCUAAUGUAUGACAAAGGUGGAAGGUGAGGUACAGACAGCCGAGGGUGAAGGUGGAGCGUGCGCAAACAGAAAUGAAUUUAAACUUCACGACGUCUGACGUUCCACCCAGAAAACCCACUCCUGGGAACACUGCGUACUACAUGCUGAUACCCAUUUGUGCUUCUCACACUGGUUGGAUGUGCAUUGGCGAUGGUGUUUUAUAUCAAGAGGAAAGUAGGAUUGGAGAACCUACGAGACAGGCUGAUCCCUCUGUAUACCUAUGACCCUACAGAGGAUCAGGAAGACUGGGUGGACACAGAGAGAGGGGAGGACGACGAGUUGGCUGAGCCUUUGUGCAAGGAUGGAAAACUCUCCUUUUCUUCCGGGUAUGGAACAUGAGCAGUGGAAUCAAAGAGAAUUUGUUCUGUCACUGCCACCAUCAGAUGCCUCUGAUUGUUUGUUUACGAUCACUAUAAUGCAAAAACUGGCGAAUGAAUUGAAAUGACAGAGAAGAUCAGAAUAUUUCAUUUUAUCAAUGUUUUUAAAUUUACUGCCAAGGCUUGCAUUUGAUCUCAUUCUUUCACAGUCUGGCUCUAUGAUGUCAUAAAGACCAGAGGAGGAAGAAACAACCUGAAUUGUGUCUCCUGUCACAAUUGUGUCAGUUGGCUAUCAGUAUCCCGGUAGAGGUUUAUGCUCUUUGAAAGCUUAAAUGCUUAAUAUUUACGUGUUUGUGCAUCAGACAGUAGGGGGCGCUACAAUCCUGUUUACAGUUCAUGUGGGAAA